UCAGAUUGUUGGUAGUGUAUUGGACUACCAAGUCGAUCACGGGUAACGGAGAAUUAGGGUUCGAUUCCGGAGAGGGAGCCUGAGAAACGGCUACCACAGCUACGGUAGGCAGCAGGUGCGUAAAUUACCCAAUCCAAAAUCUGGAAGGUAGUUACAGGAAAUUUGUUGCAUGGGGUUCUACCCCAGACACAAACGAACACAUGUAAGUAUUGUGUGUUUAAUUGGAGGGCAAGUUUUGGUGCCAGCAGCCGCGGUAAUUCCAACUCCAAGAGUGUAUCUUAAUGUUGCUGCAGUUAAAAAGCUCGUAGUUGAACUUCUGGCUAGUGGAGGUCCCCCGGGAUCAUUCGCUAGUCAUCCGCUCGGAGAAGCAGUAUUUCCUUUACUGGUUUUACUGUAGACCCAGCAUUUUACUUGAAGAAAUUAGAGUGUUCCUGGCAGGCUUAGCUUGCAUAUAUUAGCAUGGAAUAAUGGAAUAGGACCUUGUCUGUUUAUGGUUGACAGAUAGGUAAUGAUUAACAGGGACAGUC
rnacentral:rRNA from 1 species